GAUGAAGAACGCAGCGAAAUGCGAUACGUAAUGUGAAUUGCAGAAUUCAGUGAAUCAUCGAGUCUUUGAACGCACAUUGCGCCCCCUGGUAUUCCGGGGGGCAUGCCUGUCCGAGCGUCAUUGCUGCCCUCAAGCACGGCUUGUGUGUUGGGCCUCCGUCCUCCUCCCGGGGGACGGGCCCGAAAGGCAGCGGCGGCACCGCGUCCGGUCCUCGAGCGUAUGGGGCUUCGUCACCCGCUCUUGUAGGCCCNGCCGGCGCUUGCCGACACAUCAAUCUUUUUUCCAGGUUGACCUCGGAUCAGGUAGGGAUACCCGCUGAACUUAAGCAUAUCAAUAAGCGGAGGA
rnacentral:misc_RNA from 1 species